GGACUUGUAGAAUGAAUCUCUCUUUCCAUUUUAUUUGUGUGUUGUGUGUGAGUGUGUGUGAUUUUAUUAGAUUUAUUAGAAUGACUUACAGGCUUUGGUCUAGCUAAUCCAACAAUGGCUGGCUGUGAACAGAAAGUCCCAAAAGUCUUAGUCUACAAAGCUGGGUGUCUCAGCUGGUCCCAGACUCUAAUGACAGUAAAGGAGUAGACUUGCUAGCAAGGAGAGGGCAAAGAUCAAAAACUUCCUUCUUCUACAUCCUUCUAGGCUUCCAGCAGGAGGAGUGGCCCAGAUUACAUAGGCAUCUUCCUGCUUCAACAUCCAGAUUGAAGAUGCGUCUUUUCUCUGUUCCAAAGACCUGGAUGAAAGUCGUGUUUUCCUACCUCAAAGAUCUGGAUUAGAAGUGGUCUUCCUACUUCAAAUUAAGCAAAAUAUCCAAAACUAAAAUAAAAUGUGUUCCUAUCUUAAGGUAGAAAGAAUGUAAAAGCUGGAUGCUGGGGCGUAAUAUCAUCCUCUGGACAUGGACAGCUGUCACGCCCUCAAACUCACAGGAGUUACACAAGAUCAAGCCAACCAAAGUUCCCCCAAAGGUUUGGGGGUUGCCCUCCAGGUCCUACCCCUUCCUGAGGAACUGUUGGCAGUUGGUAGCUGCUAGGGAAGGGAGAACAGAACCAUUCUGCUUCAGUGCUGUGGCCACUGAGGAAUUUCCCAUGUUUCAGUGGAUGGCUCUACACUGAUACACACGAGGGCAGCACUGAGGGCUUAGAGUCUUAUUAAACAGCACCAUCAAGUCAUGAAGGGAUGUCUUGGGCACUUGCCUGGCAUGAUGGAUUGUUCCACUAAAAUAUGAGUCAGAAUAAACCACUCCUCAAGGUAUUUUUGUCACAGAAACCAGGACAAAUACCCUAGCUGUUAGUAAAAUAUGACAGCAUUUUUCCUUCAAGGAAAAAAAUAUGAUUCUGGUGAAACCAAACAGGUGGGAAAUGGUUAAAUGUUUGUCCUGCAAAUGCUUCACUGUAGUGGAGGAGCAUUUGGACAUCUACAGGGUCUCUGGACUUCCCCUAAACUCUGCUGCAACCAGAAAACACAAAGUCUUCUUUAGUAAUCAAAAUUGAACAGAUGGUGCAAGGCCUCAUGAAGCCACAUAACAGGGCCCCAAGUGGGCAUGGAUGACAACUUGGGAUGCAAAGUAACUAAUCAUCAGAAGAAAAUAAUAGAAUACAAAAGAUCACACUGCUGGGAACAAAUGAAUAAGAUUCAAAACUUCUUAUGCUGGUUAAUGACUAAAAAUACGGAAUAAAUACAAGAAUUUAAAAGUUAUUCUACGGACUGGAGAGAGAGCAGUUAAGAGCACUGACUGCUCUUCCAGAGGUCCUGAGUUCAAUUCCCAGCAACUACAUGGUGGCUUAUAACCAUCUGUAAUGGGAUCCAGUGGCCUCUUCUGGCAUGUCUGAAGAGUGCAACAGUGUACUCACAUAUAUAGAAUAAAUUUUUUUAAAAAUAAAAGUCAUUCUAUAGCUAA
rnacentral:lncRNA from 1 species